AAGGAUCCCAGUUCGAGCUCCUGGCUCCCCACCUGCAGGAAAGUCGCUUCACAGGCGCAAGUCUGCAGGUGUCUGUCUUUCUCCCUCUCUGUCUUCCCCUCCUGUCUCAAUUUUUCUCUGACCUAUCCAACAACAACAAUAACAAACAAUAAUAAUAAUCACAACAACGAUACCAGGGCAACAAAAGGGAAAAAAAAUCGCCUCCAGGAGUAGUGGAUUGGUGGUGCAGGCACUGACUGACCGACUGAGCCCCAGCAAUAACCCCGGAGGCAAAAAUAAGAAAAAAAAAUGAAGCAGCAAGCAUGUAUAGUAAAGCAAAGUUGUAUAGUUCAACCAAUAGAAACCCAACAGCUCUGGUGGUUGGAUUUGGGGGAGAUUAUUUUUUUUUCUUUCUUUUUCCUUCUAGGGUUAUUGCUGAGGUUUGGUGUCUGCACUAUGAAUCCACUGCUCCUGACGUCCAUUUUUUCUAUUUUUGUUGUUGGAUAGGAUAGAGAGAAAUUGAGAAAGGAGGGGAAGAUAGAGAGGGGAAGAGAAAGACACUUGGCAGACGUGCUUCACUUGUGGGGAGCUGGGGGCUCGAAUCGGGAUCCUUGAGCUUCUUACUAUGUGUGCUUCACCCAGUGCGGUAUACUGCCCAGCCCCCCGGGGGGAUUAUUUCUUAUAAACUCAUAAUAUUGUAGCAAGUUGCUCCUGGGAGAGAACAUUAGGCUAUUUCUGACCUGGAACACUGCUUUUUUUUUUUUUUUAAAGUUUUUUAUCAUUUUUAUUGAAUAGAGACAGCCAGAAAUCAAGAGGGAAGGGCGAGGUAGAGUGGUGGUGGUGGGGGGCAGAGACAGACACCUGCUCUGCUUUACUACUCUUGACACUUUCCCCUGGAGGUGCGGGCCAGGGCCUUGAACCUGGGUCUUUGUUCAUAGCAACAUGUGUGCUCUACCAUCUGUGCCAUUGCCCGGGCCCCACUUUUUUUUUUUUAAACAUAAAAAUCAUCUUUUUUUUUUUUUUUAUUGGAUAGAAACAGAGAAAUCAGUCUGGGAGGUGGCACAGUGGAUAAAGCAUGGUCUAUACCUUUUUUCUUUUUCUUUAAUUAAUUAAUUAAAUUUAAUCACCCACCCUGCAGGAGGCUCAAACCUGUGUACUGGGUAGAGCGCAUGUUACCAUGGAUAAGAACCCCUGUUCCACCUGUGGGGGAAAGCUUCAUGAUUGGUGGAGCAGUGUUGUAGGUAUCUAUUUUGCUCUCCCUUUCUAUUUGUCUCUUAUCAGAAAAAAGAGUAGAAAAAAUAACCCUGGUGACCAAGAGGGAAAAAAAAAAAGUGCAUGAAAGAAAUCUAUGCUUUUAAUCUGCUUCAAUUUGCUUUUAGAUACAGUGACCUCAGCAUUGAUACCUGGCAUCGCCAUAUGUCAGAGCUGAGCAAUGCUCUGGUCUCUACAUUUCCUUGUAACAAACAAACAAACAAACAAACAAAUAAAUAAUAGAAUGAAAUCUACUCUGACUAUGAAGCUACCAAGCAAUGAGGUAGCAACCAGAAAUCUGAACUUGCUGUAGUGCAGGCUGGGAGCUGUUUUGAUUUCCUUUUACACAACUAUCACAUCCCGGAUGCUAGAUUUUUUUAUUUAUUUACCAGAGCACUGCUCAACUCAGGCUUAUGGUGGUGCUGGGAGUUGAAUGUGGAAACUGAGUGCCUCAAACAUGAAAUUCACUUGCAUAGCCACUCUGCUGUCUCCCCAGCUAUAAAUAAUCUUUUUUU